rnacentral:rRNA from 1 species
UUAAGUUAUUAAGGGCGCACGGUGGAUGCCUUGGCACUAGAAGCCGAUGAAGGACGUUACUAACGACGAUAUGCUUUGGGGAGCUGUAAGUAAGCUUUGAUCCAGAGAUUUCCGAAUGGGGAAACCCAGCAUGAGUUAUGUCAUGUUAUCGAUAUGUGAAUACAUAGCAUAUCAGAAGGCACACCCGGAGAACUGAAACAUCUUAGUACCCGGAGGAAGAGAAAGAAAAUUCGAUUCCCUUAGUAGCGGCGAGCGAAACGGGAAGAGCCCAAACCAACAAGCUUGCUUGUUGGGGUUGUAGGACACUCUAUACGGAGUUACAAAGGACGACAUUAGACGAAUCAUCUGGAAAGAUGAAUCAAAGAAGGUAAUAAUCCUGUAGUCGAAAAUGUUGUCUCUCUUGAGUGGAUCCUGAGUACGACGGAGCACGUGAAAUUCCGUCGGAAUCUGGGAGGACCAUCUCCUAAGGCUAAAUACUCUCUAGUGACCGAUAGUGAACCAGUACCGUGAGGGAAAGGUGAAAAGCACCCCGGAAGGGGAGUGAAAUAGAACCUGAAACCGUGUGCUUACAAGUAGUCAGAGCCCGUUAAUGGGUGAUGGCGUGCCUUUUGUAGAAUGAACCGGCGAGUUACGAUUUGAUGCAAGGUUAAGCAGUAAAUGUGGAGCCGUAGCGAAAGCGAGUCUGAAUAGGGCGUUUAGUAUUUGGUCGUAGACCCGAAACCAGGUGAUCUACCCUUGGUCAGGUUGAAGUUCAGGUAACACUGAAUGGAGGACCGAACCGACUUACGUUGAAAAGUGAGCGGAUGAACUGAGGGUAGCGGAGAAAUUCCAAUCGAACCUGGAGAUAGCUGGUUCUCUCCGAAAUAGCUUUAGGGCUAGCCUCAAGUGAUGAUUAUUGGAGGUAGAGCACUGUUUGGACGAGGGGCCCCUCUCGGGUUACCGAAUUCAGACAAACUCCGAAUGCCAAUUAAUUUAACUUGGGAGUCAGAACAUGGGUGAUAAGGUCCGUGUUCGAAAGGGAAACAGCCCAGACCACCAGCUAAGGUCCCAAAAUAUAUGUUAAGUGGAAAAGGAUGUGGCGUUGCCCAGACAACUAGGAUGUUGGCUUAGAAGCAGCCAUCAUUUAAAGAGUGCGUAAUAGCUCACUAGUCGAGUGACACUGCGCCGAAAAUGUACCGGGGCUAAACAUAUUACCGAAGCUGUGGAUUGUCCUUUGGACAAUGGUAGGAGAGCGUUCUAAGGGCGUUGAAGCAUGAUCGUAAGGACAUGUGGAGCGCUUAGAAGUGAGAAUGCCGGUGUGAGUAGCGAAAGACGGGUGAGAAUCCCGUCCACCGAUUGACUAAGGUUUCCAGAGGAAGGCUCGUCCGCUCUGGGUUAGUCGGGUCCUAAGCUGAGGCCGACAGGCGUAGGCGAUGGAUAACAGGUUGAUAUUCCUGUACCACCUAUAAUCGUUUUAAUCGAUGGGGGGACGCAGUAGGAUAGGCGAAGCGUGCGAUUGGAUUGCACGUCUAAGCAGUAAGGCUGAGUAUUAGGCAAAUCCGGUACUCGUUAAGGCUGAGCUGUGAUGGGGAGAAGACAUUGUGUCUUCGAGUCGUUGAUUUCACACUGCCGAGAAAAGCCUCUAGAUAGAAAAUAGGUGCCCGUACCGCAAACCGACACAGGUAGUCAAGAUGAGAAUUCUAAGGUGAGCGAGCGAACUCUCGUUAAGGAACUCGGCAAAAUGACCCCGUAACUUCGGGAGAAGGGGUGCUCUUUAGGGUUAACGCCCAGAAGAGCCGCAGUGAAUAGGCCCAAGCGACUGUUUAUCAAAAACACAGGUCUCUGCUAAACCGUAAGGUGAUGUAUAGGGGCUGACGCCUGCCCGGUGCUGGAAGGUUAAGAGGAGUGGUUAGCUUCUGCGAAGCUACGAAUCGAAGCCCCAGUAAACGGCGGCCGUAACUAUAACGGUCCUAAGGUAGCGAAAUUCCUUGUCGGGUAAGUUCCGACCCGCACGAAAGGCGUAACGAUUUGGGCACUGUCUCAACGAGAGACUCGGUGAAAUCAUAGUACCUGUGAAGAUGCAGGUUACCCGCGACAGGACGGAAAGACCCCGUGGAGCUUUACUGUAGCCUGAUAUUGAAAUUCGGCACAGCUUGUACAGGAUAGGUAGGAGCCUUUGAAACGUGAGCGCUAGCUUACGUGGAGGCGCUAGUGGGAUACUACCCUAGCUGUGUUGGCUUUCUAACCCGCACCACUUAUCGUGGUGGGAGACAGUGUCAGGCGGGCAGUUUGACUGGGGCGGUCGCCUCCUAAAAGGUAACGGAGGCGCUCAAAGGUUCCCUCAGAAUGGUUGGAAAUCAUUCAUAGAGUGUAAAGGCAUAAGGGAGCUUGACUGCGAGACCUACAAGUCGAGCAGGGUCGAAAGACGGACUUAGUGAUCCGGUGGUUCCGCAUGGAAGGGCCAUCGCUCAACGGAUAAAAGCUACCCCGGGGAUAACAGGCUUAUCUCCCCCAAGAGUUCACAUCGACGGGGAGGUUUGGCACCUCGAUGUCGGCUCAUCGCAUCCUGGGGCUGUAGUCGGUCCAAGGGUUGGGCUGUUCGCCCAUUAAAGCGGUACGCGAGCUGGGUUCAGAACGUCGUGAGACAGUUCGGUCCCUAUCCGUCGUGGGCGUAGGAAAUUUGAGAGGAGCUGUCCUUAGUACGAGAGGACCGGGAUGGACAUACCUCUGGUGUACCAGUUGUCGUGCCAACGGCAUAGCUGGGUAGCUAUGUGUGGACGGGAUAAGUGCUGAAAGCAUCUAAGCAUGAAGCCCCCCUCAAGAUGAGAUUUCCCAACUUCGGUUAUAAGAUCCCUCAAAGAUGAUGAGGUUAAUAGGUUCGAGGUGGAAGCAUGGUGACAUGUGGAGCUGACGAAUACUAAUCGAUCGAAGACUUAAUCAA